rnacentral:tRNA from 1 species
GCGGGUAUAGUUUAGUGGUAGAAUGACGCCCUUCCAAGGCGUAGACGGGAGUUCGAUUCCCCCUACCCGCA